UUACCUGGGCUAGACAACGGCGGACCGCCUCAGAGAUGGGGCUUUCCCUUCGGGGACUGCCGGUUCAGGUGCUGCAUGGCUGUCGUCAGCUCGUGUCGUGAGAUGUUGGGUUAAGUCCCGNAACGAGCGCAACCCCUGUCCUUAGUUGCCCCCGGGUCAUGCCGUGGCACUCUAAGGAGACUGCCGGCGUUAAGCCGGAGGAAGGUGGGGAUGACGUCAAGUCCUCAUGGCCCUUAUGUCCAGGGCUACACACGUGCUACAAUGGGCGGUACAAAGGGAUGCGAGCUCGCGAGAGUAAGCCAACCCCAAAAAACCGUUCUCAGUUCGGAUUGCAGUCUGCAACUCGACUGCAUGAAGCUGGAAUCGCUAGUAAUCGCGGAUCAGCACGCCGCGGUGAAUACGUUCCCGGGCCUUGUACACACCGCCCGUCACACCAUGGAAGCCCGUUGUACCGGAAGCCGGUGCGCCAACCCGCAAGGGGAGGUAGCCGUUCAUGGUAUGACCGGUGACUGGGGUGAAGUCGUAACAAGGUAAGCGUAGAUGA
rnacentral:rRNA from 1 species